GAUGAACGCUGGCGGCGUGCUUAACACAUGCAAGUCGAACGUGAAGGUUAGCUUCGGCUAACUGGAAAGUGGCGGACGGGUGAGUAACACGUGGGUACCUGCCUUGAAGUGGGGGAUAACCAUUGGAAACGAUGGCUAAUACCGCAUAGUCUCUGGCCCUUUGGGGUUAGAGUAAAACUGAGGUGCUUCAAGAGGGGCUUGCGUUCGAUUAGCUAGUUGGUGAGGUAAUGGCUUACCAAGGCGAUGAUCGAUAGCUGGUCUGAGAGGAUGAUCAGCCACACGGGAACUGAGACACGGUCCCG
rnacentral:rRNA from 1 species